ensembl:lncRNA
CUCUCCUCUUUUCUGCUUUUCAGGGCUGCACCUGCAGCAUAUGGAAGUUCUCAGGCUAGGGGCUGACUUGGAACAGCAACUGCCAGCCUACACCACAGCCGCAGCAACAUUAGAUCCAAACAGCAUCUGCGACCUACACCACAGCUCACAGCAACACCAGAUCCUUAACCCACUGAGUGAAGCCAUGGAUUGAACCCACAUUCUCAUAGAUACUAGAUGUUUUCUUUUCCAAGAUUUUUAUUUUUUCUAUUAUAGUUGAUUUACAAUGUUCUGUCAAUUUCUGCUGUACUUUUAUUGCUAUGCUCAGUAACAAAGUCAUUUUCUACAGCCCCCUGGUGGUGGGGAAGGGGAAUGGCCUAGAUUUGGUUUAUCUUGUCCUAGGGGAAGCACUUUGGGAACCCAACUUAACUUUGAAAAUCACUUAUAAGUUUCAUCACCUUAUGGAAUUCCCUGGUGUCCUACCGGGUUAAAGACCCAGUGCUGUCACUGCUUUGGCUCAGGUUUCAUCCCUGGCCAGGGAAUUUCCACAUGCUAUGGGCACUGAAAAAAAAAAUUUUUUUUCAUCACCCUGGGUGGGCCUGGCUCUAUCCUUCAAUCUCUGUAGGUGGCUGGUGAAAUUGUACGUAACUGCAGCAUCAGCAACAGUUUAGGGCAAAUCUGCUUUCAUGUUCACCUCUGAUGACAAGAUCCCAUCUUAAAACAGAUUUGCCUGUUUAAACUGCAGACUCUUCAGCCUCCAUCUCAUUCAAGGAGAGGGCACACCAUUAUUUUAAACACUAUGUUUUUUUCAAUGUUUUUGGUGUGAAACUGACCCAAAAAACCUAGCCUACCUCUACCAGAAACAAAAUAUUGUCUCACCUUUUCAAUGUUUUCUUUUCUAGAUUUGAGGUUUCCCAGUCCAGAUUUUUAGAUUCAUAUAUUUUAUUUCUAUCCUUCUAGUGCUUGCCCAUGACACAAUAACCGCAUUUAACUCAAUAAAGGGCAUCUUGACCAUACUCCCAAAUACAGGCACUUUAGCCUGCUUUCACGCAGAUUUUCCAGCUUCUAAUUUACCUAUUGUCCCACAUUUCAAUUCUAUUUAUCUUUUAGCCUUGAGAAUUAGACAAUGUUUAAAAUAAGUGUUUUUGAUUUACCUACAUGUUUGCAAUUCUUUCUUCUUGCAUAACAGACAUUUCCUGGAAGAGGGUGGGGGCUGGUGUUCCCUAAACCAGCUUGAGUCCUGAGAUAAGUCUGAACAGGUGUAGCCACCAGCUUUUUGGAUCUGUACCAAAAAGUCCACUUGGACUGGAUGGAGACCUGAAGACCCUUCCUCAUUUGGGAUUAGUUCAAGCAGCAUGUAUCUGGCACUAGGUAGACUCAAGGCCCAAGCCUUAAGCGGACUAUGGCCCAUUUCCCAUGUGUCCAAGUCAAUGGAGGCUGCAGUAGGAAGAUGUCCUGGUGCUUAGUAGGCUGAGGCACUCAGAAUCCCCAUUCGUGUGGAAGCUCUCUUCUCCCUUUUUCUUUAACCUCUUUCAAAAGUAGGUGAUGCCUUAGGCCCACAUGGAGCUCAUGUAGGUGUGUACGUGGUGGGGGGGACUUGGGGAUCUAAAGCCAGAGGCACACCAACAGCCUUGGCCACAAGGAAACCUUAAGUAACCUAUCAUCCAAAACAGUUAU